GCAUCCAAUGCAGCUUUUAGAUACAAUGAAAUAUUAUGAAUGUACAGAGUAUAAUUAGCGGUGUUCAUACAGAUGGACGAACAUGUCUAUGUCGAUUCGUCUUGUCACGCUGAAAAUUGUAAUCCUAUGCACAGCCAACUCCACAUAUCCCUCUGCCUAUUAUACACUUUCAAACAUUCUGGAAACGGCUAUAAAAAUUCAUUAAAUGAAUGCCAUGAAGCAAAUCUUGUUGCAGAACCUAAUUCAAAAACUGCGCUGUAAAAACAUUUUUGUAAAACUUUCAAGAACCGUUUAUAAUUUUAAAAGAACGUCCAAAUUAUAUAAAUUCUAAAUAAAAGCAACCAAAUAUUAUA